rnacentral:rRNA from 1 species
GUCUACGGCCAUACCACCCUGAACGCGCCCGAUCUCGUCUGAUCUCGGAAGCUAAGCAGGGUCGGGCCUGGUUAGUACUUGGAUGGGAGGUUUUAUGUUUCUGAAAGUU